AUGAACGCUAGCGACAGGCCUAACACAUGCAAGUCGAGGGGCAGCACAAGGAGCAAUCUGAGGUGGCGACCGGCGCACGGGUGAGUAACACGUAUGCAACCUGCCUGUAAGCGGGGAAUAACCCGUUGAAAGACGGACUAAUACCGCAUAAUACUAAAUUACUGCAUGGUAAUUUAUUUAAACAUUUAUGGCUUACAGAUGGGCAUGCGCAUGAUUAGCUAGUUGGAGAGGUAACGGCUCCCCAAGGCAACGAUCAUUAGGGGUUCUGAGAGGAAGGUCCCCCACACUGGUACUGAGACACGGACCAGACUCCUACGGGAGGCAGCAGUGAGGAAUAUUGGUCAAUGGACGAGAGUCUGAACCAGCCAAGUCGCGUGCAGGAAGAAUGUCCUAUUGGAUUGUAAACUGCUUUUGCAGGGGAAUAAAGUGCAUCACGUGUGAUGUUUUGUAUGUACUCUGCGAAUAAGGAUCAGCUAACUCCGUGCCAGCAGCAGC
rnacentral:rRNA from 1 species